CCUACGGGAGGCAGCAGUGGGGAAUAUUGGGCAAUGGAGGCAACUCUGACCCAGCAACGCCGCGUGAAUGAUGAAGGUCUUCGGAUUGUAAAGUUCUGUGAUGGGGGAUGAACACAAUGACGGUACCCCAAUAGCAAGCCACGGCUAACUACGUGCCAGCAGCCGCGGUAAUACGGAGGGUGCAAGCGUUACUCGGAAUCACUGGGCGUAAAGAGUGCGCAGGCGGCAUGUAAAGUCAGGUGUUAAAGGCGCAGGCUCAACCUGUGUAUGGCACUUGAUACUUGCAAGCUGGAAUGCGGUAGAGGUAAAGGGAAUUCCUGGUGUAGCGGUGAAAUGCUUAGAUAUCAGGAGGAACAUCGGUGGCGUAAGCGCUUUACUGGGCCGUAAGUGACGCUGAGGAACGAAAGCCAGGGUAGCAAAUGGGAUUAGAUACCCGGGUAGU
rnacentral:rRNA from 1 species